rnacentral:rRNA from 1 species
CAGCCGCCGCGGGAAUACGUAGGUGGCAAGCGUUGUCCGGAAUUAUUGGGCGUAAAGGGCUCGCAGGCGGUUUCUUAAGUUUGAUGUGAAAGCCCCCGGCUCAACCGGGGAGGGUCAUUGGAAACUGGGAAACUUGAGUGCAGAAGAGGAGAGUGGAAUUCCACGUGUAGCGGUGAAAUGCGUAGAGAUGUGGAGGAACACCAGUGGCGAAGGCGACUCUCUGGUCUGUAACUGACGCUGAGGAGCGAAAGCGUGGGGAGCGAACAGGAUUAGAUACCCCUGUAGUCCCUGUCUCUUAUAC